GGCGAUGUAGCUCAGUUGGUUAGAGCGGGCGUUUCAUACGCGCUAGGUCACAGGUUCGAAUCCCGUCAUCGCCACCA
rnacentral:tRNA from 1 species